AGUGAACGCUGGCGGUAGGCCUAACACAUGCAAGUCGAACGGCAGCACAGUAAGAGCUUGCUCUUACGGGUGGCGAGUGGCGGACGGGUGAGGAAUACAUCGGAAUCUACUUUUUCGUGGGGGAUAACGUAGGGAAACUUACGCUAAUACCGCAUACGACCUACGGGUGAAAGCAGGGGGUCUUCGGACCUUGCGCGAUUGAAUGAGCCGAUGUCGGAUUAGCUAGUUGGCGGGGUAAAGGCCCACCAAGGCGACGAUCCGUAGCUGGUCUGAGAGGAUGAUCAGCCACACUGGAACUGAGACACGGUCCAGACUCCUACGGGAGGCAGCAGUGGGGAAUAUUGGACAAUGGGCGCAAGCCUGAUCCAGCCAUACCGCGUGGGUGAAGGAGGCCUUCGGGUUGUAAAGCCCUUUUGUUGGGAAAGAAAAGCAGCAGGUUAAUACCCCGCUGUUCUGACGGUACCCAAAGAAUAAGCACCGGCUAACUUCGUG
rnacentral:rRNA from 1 species